rnacentral:rRNA from 1 species
UGGGGAAUCUUGCGCAAUGGGCGAAAGCCUGACGCAGCAACGCCGCGUGUGUGAUGAAGGUCUUCGGAUCGUAAGGCACUGUCGGCAGGAACGAUGGCGAGCGUGGCUAAUAUCCACGAACGUUGACGGUACCUGCAAAGGAAGCACCGGCUAACUCUGUGCCAGCAGCCGCGGUAAUACAGAGGGUGCGAGCGUUGUUCGGAAUCAUUGGGCGUAAAGCGCGCGUAGGCGGCUUUGCAAGUCGGAUGUGAAAGCCCUGGGCUCAACCCAGGAAGUGCAUUCGAAACUGCAUGGCUUGAGUUCCGGAGAGGGUGGUGGAAUUCCGAGUGUAGAGGUGAAAUUCGUAGAUAUUCGGAGGAACACCAGUGGCGAAGGCGACCACCUGGACGAGAACUGACGCUGAGGUGCGAAAGCGUGGGGAGCAAA